AUGAUGCACGGGCCUUGCGGAGAGGCAAAUACAAAAUCGCCAUGCAUGAUGGAGAACAGAUGUAGUAAACACUUCCCAAAAGGAUACAAUGUCGAUAGCACAAUCGAUGAGGAUGGCUUUCCAGUAUAUAGAAGGCGAGACAAUGGAAGGAAGAUUAAAAAGGGAGGAGCAAUGCUCGACAACAUAUUUGUCAUGCCAUACAACAGAAACCUUUUGGUCAAAUUCCAAGCUCACAUAAAUGUCGAGUGGUGCAACAGGUCCAGGUCAAUUAAGUACCUAUUUAAGUACAUCCAUAAAGACGACGACCAAGUAACAGCCUUACUAAAGGAAAGGGAUGCGGCAAACGAUUAUGAUGAAAUCAGGAAAUACCUAGAGAUGAGAUACAUAUCAACAACCGAAGCAUGCUGGCGGAUAUUCCAGUUUGAUCUUCACCAUCGUGAUCCACCCGUCGAGAGACUGCCAUUCCACAUUGAAAAUGAGCAACAAGUCAUUUUUCCGGACUCGACUGACAUCGAGAAGAUAGUAAGAAGACCAGGAUCCACAAGUACAAAGUUCACUGAGUGGAUGGAGGCAAACAAAAUACAUGAGGUGGGAAAAGAAUUAACCUAUGCAGUAUUCCCAUCAAAAUUUGUAUGGAAAAGUGAAAGCAAAACUUGGGAGGAGCGGAAAAGGGGCUUUGCGAUUGGAAGAAUCUACUAUGCACACCCUGCAAGUGGCGACCGGUAUUAUAUGAGAAUGCUUCUAAACACCAAGAAAGGAUGCACAUCAUUUGAGGAUAUUAGAACAGUUAAUGGAGUUGUUCACCCAACAUACAAAUCAGCAUGCCAAGCGCUUGGAUUUCUUGAUGACGAUGGUGAGUGGAUUGAAUGCAUCAAUGAAGCAUCAAGCUGGGGAUCAGGGACACAGUUACGACAACUAUUCACCACAAUUUUAUGCCAUUGUGAGGUGACCAGCCCAAAGAUGUUGUGGGAUUCAACAUGGGAGGCACUGUCUGAAGAUAUCCAGUACAAAAGAAGAAUUAUCCUAAACUUUCCUACGCUGCAGCUUACUGAUUCACAGAAAAAAGCAUAUGCUUUGAUUGAGAUAGAGAAACUAAUGAGGCAAGCAGGAAAGACACUAAAGGACUAUCCAGACAUAGAACUACCAAAUGCUACAAAACUUGAACAACUUGGAAACAGGAUGAUAAACGAAGAACUUAGCUAUGACAUGGAGGCACUAAAGAGUGAGCACCAAAUAAUAAUAAACAAUCUUAACCACGACCAGAAAAUGGCUUUUGAUGCAAUAAUGGAAUCAGCUGAGAGAGGACUUGGAAAAUAG
rnacentral:rRNA from 1 species